CUUCAUAUACAACUUCAUCACCCUGCAUUACAACUCAACAAAAGCACAAUGAACACAGUCAGAUCAUAGCAACAUGAAACUUUAUGAACUCAAUCUUACAACAUAAAUAGCAAGAGAAGCCAAUAAACUGCUACUUACCAUAAUAAUUAAUAAUUACAUGUAGUCAUGUACUUUUUUUGCCCCAAUAUACAUUUUCCAAACAAUUCACCAAAACAUUGAUUACAGGAACAGAAAAUAAUCAAACACAAUACAACUGAAAUUAUUCAUAAAAUUAAAAUCAUCUUUCUCUCUCCAUUUUUCCUUUAUUGCAUUCAUUUUAUUAAUAUACACAUUGAACAGAGAUGGUGAGUUUAUGAGCAUACCCUCUCAAAAUUAUCUUUCUCUCUCCAGUUUUCCUUUGCAUUCAUUUUAUUAAUAUAUAUAUUGAACAAUUGGAACAGGAAAAUUCAGAGAAAAUAAUAAAUUAAUAAAAUAUGAAGAAAAAAGACUUACGGCUAGAUUAUCACCAGGGGUAGUUGUCUACCUGGAACGGGAUCCCGUGCGGCGGAAUAUGGAUCCCGUUCUCCUCGUAAUCGUCGUCGAUCUCCGUUCGACGAUUCUCUUUGCAGGCGUUAUCUUCUUGCCGACCUUCGGCUUCUUCUGGGCUGCCGCCGCCGCCGCUUCACGUCUUCCGCCGACGCAGGAAGAAAUUUUCGAUCGGGUGGCGGAGAAGAACGGGUGGUGCUCCGACGAUGUGAAGCUACGCAGACCGCCGUUCUCCACCAUGAUUCCCGCAACCUUCGCCGCUGCUCUCAUCGCGCCGCCUCCCAUGUUAUUUU
rnacentral:lncRNA from 1 species